UAAUACGGAGGUGGCGAGCGUUGCUCGGAAUCAUUGGGUGUAAAGGGCAAGUAGGCGGCCUAUUAAGUGAGGGGUGAAAUCUUCCGGCUCAAUCGGAAAAUUGCCUUCCAAACUAAUAGGCUUGAGAUUGGGAGAGGGAAACGGAAUUAGCGGUGUAAGGGUGAAAUCUGUAGAUAUCGCUAAGAACACCAGCGGCGAAGGUGGUUUCCUGGCCCAAAUCUGACGCUGAAUUGCGAAAGCUAGGGGAGCGAACAGAAUUAGAUACUCUGGUAGUCCUAGCCGUAAACGAUGAGCACUAGGUGUUGGUCCUUCGGGAUCAGUGCCGCAGCUAACGCAUUAAGUGCUCCACCUGGGGACUACGGCCGCAAGGCUA
rnacentral:rRNA from 1 species